GUGUGCAUGUGUGUGUGUGUGUCUGGCGCCUGUCCAAGGUGAUUUCCCAUAAACCACAUGCCUCACAAGUCCGCUUAAAAGGCUGUGCCGAGGAGCUGGCCAGUGGAGCCCGGCUCAGGGAAAGUGAAAGUUUGCCUCGGUGCUCUUGGCGCUGCCGUGGGUCCCUCCGCACUCCCGGGACAGCAGCGCGGCCCUCGGCCGGGGCGCGGACUCUGCAGCGGCCAGCGAGCGAGCGAGCGCGGGCGGCCGACGCGCCCGGCCGGGACCCAGCUGCCCGUAUGACCGCGCCGGGCGCCGCCGGGCGCUGCCCUCCCACGACAUGGCUGGGCCCUCUGCUGCUGCUGGUCUGUCUCCUGGUGAGCAGGAGUACCGCUGAGGAGGUGUCGGAGAACUGUAGCCACAUGAUUGGAGACGGACACCUGAAGGUCCUGCAGCAGCUGAUUGACAGUCAGAUGGAGACCUCGUGCCAAAUUGCCUUUGAGUUUGUAGACCAGGAGCAGUUGACGGAUCCAGUGUGCUAUCUGAAGAAGGCCUUUCUCCAGGUGCAGGACAUACUGGAUGAAACCAUGCGCUUCAGAGACAACACUCCCAAUGCCAACGUCAUUGUCCAGCUCCAGGAACUCUCUCUGAGGCUCAACAGCUGCUUCACCAAGGACUACGAAGAGCAGGACAAGGCCUGUGUCCGAACUUUCUAUGAGACGCCCCUCCAGUUGCUGGAGAAGAUCAAGAAUGUCUUUAAUGAAACAAAGAAUCUCCUGAAAAAGGACUGGAACAUUUUCAGCAAGAACUGCAACAAUAGCUUUGCUAAAUGCUCCAGCCAGGAUGUGGUGACCAAGCCUGAUUGCAACUGCCUGUACCCCAAAGCCACCCCUAGCAGUGACCUGGCCUCUGUCUCCCCUCAGCAGCCCCUCACCCCCUUCAUGGCCCCUGUGGUUGGCUUGACCUGGGCUGACUCUGAGGGGACAGAGGGCAGCUCCCUCUUGCCCCAAGAGCAGCCCCCUCGCACAGUGGACCCAGGCGGUGCCAAGCAGCGACCACCCAGGAGCACCUGCCAGACCUUUGAGUCAUCGGAGACCCCAGGCGUCGAGGACAGCAGCACCGGAGGUUCACCACAGCCCCACUCCUCUGUUGGAGCCCCCAUCACUGGGAUGGAAGACAUUCUUGGCUCUAUGCUGGGCACUGAUUUGGCCCUGGAAGAGGCCUCUGGAGAGGCCAGUGAGGGGCCCCUACCCCUAGGGGCCGAGCCCUCCCCCUCCAGGCUGCAGGGAGACAGCGUCCAGGCGGAGAGGGCCAGACCGAGCCACCUUCUCUCAGCAUUUUCCCCACUUUCUGGACCGGCAAAGGGCUGGCAGCCUGCGGAUGUAAUUAGCCCGCUCCCGCCCACGGGGGCCACCGGGAGACCCACUGAGGCCUGGAGCCACACACUUGAGAAGACAGUCCAUCCAUCUGCCUUGCCCAGAGACCGCCUGGAGCCAGACUCCACCAGGAUCCCAGCACCGCACCCACGAAGCCUCAGCAGUCCCUCCACGCUCUCCUCUCAGCCAGGCCUCCCCGGAAGCCGCCCCUGGGGCCACGUGCUGUCCCCUGGGGAGCCGGAAGGCAAAAGAAGCACCAGGGACCGGAGGAGCCCCGCAGAGCUGGAAGGAGGACAGGCAAUUGAGGGGGCGCCCAGACACCUAGCCUAUUUUAACCCCAUUCCUUUGACUGAUGCAGGCCAUGAGAGGCAGCCCGAGGGACGCUCCGACCCCCAGCUCCCCGGCUUUGUCUUGCGCCUGCUCGUGCCCAGCAUCAUCCUGGUCCUGCUGGCCGUCGGCGGCCUCUUGUUCUACAGGCGGAGGCGGUGGGUAAGAAGAGCCCAAUGGGGGGAGAAGGGCAUCUCGUGGGGACCAGGGCACAACCUGGGUAGAGGAGCAGCCGGAGGUCAGCUUGGGUUCAGAGCAGGUGCUUCAGACCCUGAGAGACAGGAGGCUGAGCACAGAGGGUGGGAGGUGGAAAUGGAGGGUUUUUUCAAGAAUGGGGAGGGCUCGGGCCACAAGAGCAGCCAGAAGGGACUGAGGACGAAGAGUGGGAGCGACUGUUCUUGGGCCACAGCAGGAUAUGAACCCAGACGGGAGAGGGGACGGGGGAGGAAAGCGAUGCCUGCAUGGGGAGGAGAAACAGCGUGUUGCCAGCAUAGAGGCUUCCCCGCUGGCUGUUCCAGAGGGAGGCUUUGGUACCCCUUCAUAGACCCCCUGGGCAGCCCUGCCUAAGGGUGGGGCUGUGGUCUCCCUGCCGUCCCCAGCCUCUCAGUGAGCCUGCUCUGUUCCGUCCCCAGAGCCUUCGAGAGCCUUGGACAGUGGAUCCUCCCAUGGAGCAACCAGAGGGCAGCCCCCUGACCCAGGAUGAGGACAGACAGGUGGAAUUGCCAGUGUAAAGGGAAUUCUAAGCUGGGCGCGCAGGACAGACUCUUCGUGCGAGGAGACUUAUGGGGGCGUCCACCACCACCCCUCCCCAGCCAUUCUCCUGGGAACACAGCCUGCCCUUGGGGAGAGCUCCUGCCUGCCAGGACUAGACCAGAGCCGCCAGCCUGGGGCCCCUCCGCCCUUGACCCUCAGACUCUGGACUGACUAAAAGAGGCUGGAGGAUGCCCCCACAUUGCUGAGGCUCCCAUCUGCUUGGGGAAGGCCGGCAAGCCCGGCUGGGGACCCUCCAGGGCUGCAUCCACCUCCCGCUCCCCUCCAAGCUGGCACCUGAGCCCGGGACCCAGAGGCCCGUGGGAUGCGGGAGAGCAGGGUGGGCGCUGAGGAAUGGAAGAGGCCUUGUGCCCAGAGGAACUGCCUGGUGCCAAGGGAUCCUAACAGCGACAAGCAGGGACGUGUCUCCAGAGAGAGAAGCGUGAGACUCACAGGGCGGGACAGCGUCGCUGGAUUUCCUGUAAGGUGUGUAGCCCAGAAGAUGGGAAGAGAAGGCCUCUGGGCCUGCUGCUCUGCACUGACAGCCUCAAGGGGCCUGCGCCCCCCACUUGCCUGAGUGCCCUCUGCUGGUGGCCAGGCGGAGAGGGGAGGCCAAUCAUACCCUCAGGACCUGCCUGGCCCAGCCCAUGAUGCCAAGGAGAAGACCAGCUCUGGCCUCUGCCCCGCCGUGCCCCAGCCCCGCCAGAGCUUCUCCGGGAGGCCGCACAGAGGCUGUCCUCAAGGAGGAAGCCAUUGCACUGUGAAUACUGAACCUGCCUGCUGAGCAGCCUGCCCCAUCCGUCCCAGAGAGCAGACACCCCCACCCCCCCGUCCUCCCACCUCUCCAGCCUCUCCCCAGCUUCCUGCACUGAGUGCCCGAGCCGGCCUCACCUGUCGACUGAGGGAGCCCCUGAGCCCUGACCUUCUGCUGACCCCGCUCUGUCUCCCUGGGGUGGAUCGGGGUGGGAGCACCGCCCGGGCCGCCAGCCGGAGCCGGUCUUUAGGCUGCGUUGUCCGCCCAGGUUUCUGCAUCUUGCACUUUGACAUUCCCGAGAGGGAAGUGACUAGUGGGAGGGGGAGAAAAGGAGAGCAGGGACACACACAGAGAGGCUACAGGCUGCACUCUGACUGCAAGUGGGCCUUUGAAAGGAUGGGCCCGCUCCCGAGAUGGGGGCAGAGGUCUGCACCCCUGACCCCCCCAGCCCAGUCUCUUGCUGCAACCCCAACCACGGCUCCAAGACUGCUGCCGAUAGGCACCUGGGCUGAGCGGGUCGUCCCUUGUUAGGGGGCCGGUAGGCAGCGACACCCUCCAGCUCCCGCCCCACCCCUCACCAGCACCGUCUCUCUGCCCAGGCAAGCCAGGGUGGGAGAGGGACUCGGAGGGCCCUGGCACCCGCCUCCAAGUCUGCCUUGAGGGCCUCAGCUUCCUGGGAGCCCACGGCUGCAGCUCUGAGAUCCAGACAGCAGGUGACAGGGCUGUCGAUUGGCCUUGGUCCCUUUGUGCUUCUGGAUCCCUCCUCUCCUGCUGCCCUGGGCCCUCCACUGAGAGACCCUGCCCUACUUGGCCGUUGCACCAGGGCCCUUCCUGCCCUUGAAAGUGAAGGCCCACUGGUCCCUGCCUCCCCUGCCCUGUUGCUGUCAGCAAAGGCAAGGGCAUUGGAGAACUUUCCCUGUCGGGGUCCUUUUGCUAGUCACAGACUCUAUAUUUGAUACUAAAAAAAUAUCUAUUUAAAAACGUGGAAGGAAAAAACAACACAGAAAAAAGGCAUUCCUCCCUCACUCCCCUCCUUAAACAUAUAGUAUUUUGAAAGUCAAGAAAGCAAAUCCAACCCAUCGCAGAAGCUCUUUGAGGGCUCUUGGGGCACAGGAGUGGGAGGGCUCCUAGCCCCCCUCUGGGUGUCUCCCCAGCUACCUGCACAGGAACCUUCUUUUCUCUGAGAAAGCCGAGAGGGAACAUUGGCUCACACACUGUGAGAUUUUUGUUUUUAUACUUGGAAGUGGUGAAUUAUUUUAUAUGAAGUCAUUUAAAUAUCUAUUUAAAAAAAUAGGAAGCUGCUUAUAUAUUUAAUAAUAAAAGAAGUGCACAAGCUGCUAUGUGUGA